AGCGAACGCUGGCGGCAGGCUUAACACAUGCAAGUCGAACGGGCAUCUUCGGAUGCUAGUGGCAGACGGGUGAGUAACACGUGGGAACGUACCUUUCGGUUCGGAAUAAUACAGGGAAACUUGAGCUAAUACCGAAUGUGCCCUUCGGGGGAAAGAUUUAUCGCCAUUAGAGCGGCCCGCGUCUGAUUAGCUAGUUGGUGAGGUAAAGGCUCACCAAGGCUACGAUCAGUAGCUGGUCUGAGAGGAUGAUCAGCCACAUUGGGACUGAGACACGGCCCAAACACCUACGGGUGGCAG
rnacentral:rRNA from 1 species